UCCUCGUUUGAGCGAGGCAGUCUGUCCAGAGUGCUCCAAACUCUCGUUCGGAUUGCAACGGGACAUAGGGGUUGCGCUCGUUGCGGGACUUGACCCAACAUCUCACGACACGAGCUGACGACAGCCAUGCAGCACCUGUGUAAGCUGGUAUUGCUACCUCGUUCCGCUUUCACGGUUCUACUACCUACAUGUCAAGGCCAGGUAAGGUUCUUCGCGUUGCAUCGAAUUAAGCCACAUACUCCACCGCUUGUGCAGGCCCCCGUCAAUUUCUUUGAGUUUUAGCCUUGCGGCCGUAGUCCCCAGGCGGUCGACUUAAUGCGUUAGCUGCGGCGCCGAGGGGGUCGAUACCCCCGACACCUAGUCGACAUCGUUUACGGCGUGGACUAC
rnacentral:misc_RNA from 1 species